rnacentral:rRNA from 1 species
GAUGAACGCUAGCUACAGGCUUAACACAUGCCAGUCGAGGGGCAGCGGGAUUGAAGCUUGCUUCAAUUGCCGGCGACCGGCGCACGGGUGAGUAACGCGUAUCCAACCUUCCGUACACUCAGGGAUAGCCUUUCGAAAGAAAGAUUAAUACCUGAUGGUAUGAUGAGAUUGCAUGAUAUCAUCAUUAAAGAUUUAUCGGUGUACGAUGGGGAUGCGUUCCAUUAGGUAGUAGGCGGGGUAACGGCCCACCUAGCCAACGAUGGAUAGGGGUUCUGAGAGGAAGGUCCCCCACAUUGGAACUGAGACACGGUCCAAACUCCUACGGGAGGCAGCAGUGAGGAAUAUUGGUCAAUGGACGAGAGUCUGAACCAGCCAAGUAGCGAGAAGGAUGAAGGUCCUACGGAUUGUAAACUUCUUUUAUAAGGGAAUAAACCCUCCCACGUGUGGGAGCUUGUAUGUACCUUAUGAAUAAGCAUCGGCUAACUCCGUG